rnacentral:ncRNA from 1 species
UUACUCUCCGCUCGUCGCUGCAAAUUCAGCGACCGGGUUUGGCGACCCGAUCA